rnacentral:rRNA from 1 species
AGAAGGUCCAGCCUGCCCAGUGACAAGUUUAACGGCCGCGGUACCCUGACCGUGCGAAGGUAGCAUAAUCACUUGUUCUUUAAAUGAGGACUCGUAUCAAUGGCAUCACGAGGGCUAUACUGUCUCCUCUCUCCAAUCAGUGAAACUGAUCUCCCCGUGAAGAAGCGGGGAUUUUACUAUAAGACGAGAAGACCCCAUGGAGCUUUAAACACGAUAUUAACCCUACACACACACACCGACUAAGCCUUAAGGACCUUAAUAUCUAUUUUAGGUUGGGGUGACCGCGGAGUAAAACACAACCUCCACGACUAACGGGCCACGCCCUUAUCCACGAACCACAGUUCCAAGAAUCAACAAACUGACGUUUAUGACCCGAUAACUCGAUCAACGAACCAAGUUACCCUGGGGAUAACAGCGCAAUCCACUUCAAGAGCCCCUAUCGACAAGUGGGUUUACGACCUCGAUGUUGGAUCAGGGUAUCCCAGUGGUGCAGCCGCUACUAAAGGUUUGUUUGUUCAACAAUUAAAACCCUACGUGAUCUGAGUUUCAGACCGGA